GAAGAGGGAAACCAGAAGAGCUGGCACCAGGAACAUUAAAGAAAAUAAUGACAGAAGUUCUGUGGCCUUGAUGUGACCCAUGGGCUGCCUGUUGAAAACCAUAAAUGACAAAUUGUACUGGCAAGAAGUUCCAUGGAAGCCAAUAAGAUUGAAGUGACGGCUGAACAACAUCUCCAGGAAGUAAGAUUAACUUGCAGACCAGAACUCCAUCACCACCACCACCUCUCUCCAAACAAUUUUUCACAUAAGGGGAAAGAUGAGCUCAUUUUUCCUCCCUGUACUCAGCAUCACAGCCUGAAGAGCAAUGAUCAGGAGAUCAGGAGAUCAGGACUGUGACUGCUUACUUUCUCUUAAUAUCUUAAUUGCCUGAUUAUGCAUCAUGACAGUUUAGCCCUGCGAGCACAUUCCUUCUGCCUUUAUUCACAGUGUGCCACCUUUCUCUGCAAGCCUGUGAAAGCAAAAUAAGAGAGAAGCAGUUUAAGAAGAGAGAUGCUAAGAGAUGGGAAGGAUAAGCAGAGAAUUGAUAUGCAAAAGCACAAGGUUAUCCAGUGUUUGACCUUAUUGAUCAUUUUUUGUCUCAAGCAUUUAUUUUCCCCUGGUUGCUCAACUCAUUCCAAGGAUUCUUACAUAAAGCUUGUCAUUCAUCCCAUUCUUACGAUAAAGCCUAUUGUCCCUCCUUUCUUCGUUCCCUAGUGGAUACAACCUAAAGUCUACUUGCCCUUGAACACCAGCUGUUCUAAAGCUGAGAUAUGCCUUCACUAUUUUCUGAGCUCAGUCAUUUUAGAUGCUCCACAACAGGCAAAUAAUACCAAAAGAGCCAAAAAUGGCAAAAGGAGACAUUUCAGAGGAGGAGUUACACUUUCAAUAGCAUCACUGCACACACACACACCCUGCACACACUACGCUGGUUUUGCAGAGGUAAGCAUGCUGAAAGCUGAUAAAAUCACUAGGUCUACUCUGUGCACUGUAACCAUAGACUUCAUCUUGUCUUAGUGAGAUGAUUGUAAGAGUCAUAUGCCACGAAUGAUCCAUGGAAUCCCUUCAAGUUAUUUGAUCCUAGUAUUGCACAAUUCCAUAGCAGAGAGAGAUUGCAAGAUUAGUUUUUUGGAAAACUAAUGAAUAUUCUUUCAAAUACUUCAUUUCAACUGGGCCCAUUCAGAAUUGAACCAGGAGCAUUUUGCUCUCAGUAGUUUGAGAACUUAAGGGUGGUAUAGAUUCUUCCAUCAGUGUAUAGUACCUGCAUGAGUCUUCCUAACCUACAUGCAUUGCCUAUCAGUAGGGAACUCCUAGACCAUAUGAGGCCCAAACCAGUUCAGAGAACCUCUGCAUCACCCUCUAGUUUCUACAACCCUAGAUUUCCUUCAAAUGGCCUUGUGUUUUUUCCACAUGGUGGUCACCAGCAACCAGUAAUAACAACAACA